rnacentral:misc_RNA from 1 species
AGCAGCCGCGGUAAUUCCAGCUCCAAUAGCGUAUAUUAAAGUUGUUGCAGUUAAAAGCUCGUAGUUGAAUUUCGGGAUUGACACAUCGGUCGUGCCUUAAGGGGUAUGAACUGGUGUAGUCAAUUUCUCACCUUCUGGAGAACCGCGAUGCCCUUAAUUGGGUGUCGCGGGGAACCAGGACCUUUACUUUGAAAAAUUAGAGUGUUUAAAGCAGGCAUUUUGCUUGAAUACAUUAGCAUGGAAUAAUAAAAUAGGACGGCAUGAUUCUAUUUUGUUGGUUUCUAGGAUCACCGUAAUGAUUAAUAGGGAUAGUUGGGGGCAUUAGUAUUCAAUUGUCAGAGGUGAAAUUCUUGGAUUUAUUGAAGACUAACUACUGCGAAAGCAUUUGCCAAGGAUGUUUUCAUUAAUCAAGAACGAAAGUUAGGGAUCGAAGACGAUCAGAUACCGUCGUAGUCUUAACCAUAAACUAUGCCGACUAGGAAUCAGACGAUGUUAAUUUUUAAUGUACUCGUUUGGCACC